GCCUGACGGAGCAACGCCGCGUGAGGGAUGAAGGCCUCUGGGCUGUAAACCUCUUUUAUCAAGGAAGAAGAUCUGACGGUACUUGAUGAAUAAGCCACGGCUAAUUCCGUGCCAGCAGCCGCGGUAAUACGGGAGUGGCAAGCGUUAUCCGGAAUUAUUGGGCGUAAAGCGUCCGCAGGCGGCCCAACAAGUCUGCUGUUAAAAAGUGGAGCUUAACUCCAUCAUGGCAGUGGAAACUGUUGGGCUAGAGUGUGGUAGGGGCAGAGGGAAUUCCCGGUGUAGCGGUGAAAUGCGUAGAUAUCGGGAAGAACACCAGUGGCGAAGGCGCUCUGCUGGGCCAUCACUGACGCUCAUGGACGAAAGCCAGGGGAGCGAAAGGGAUUAGAUACCCCUGUAGUCCUGGCCGUAAACGAUGAACACUAGGUGUCGGGGGAAUCGACCCCUCCGGUGUCGUAGCCAACGCGUUAAGUGUUCCGCCUGGGGAGUACGCACGCCAGUGUGAAACUCAAAGGAAUUGACGGGGGCCCGCACAACCGGUGGAGUAUGUGGUUUAAUUCGAUGCAACGCGAAGAACCUUACCAGGGU
rnacentral:rRNA from 1 species